UACAGAGGUGCUCAAGCGUUGUUCGGAUUCAUUGGGCGUAAAGGGUGCGUAGGUUGGCGCUGUAAGUCGGGUGUGGAAAUCCCUGAGGCUUAACCUCGGAACUGCAUUCGAUACUGCGGCGCUUGAGGACUGGAGAGGAGACUAGGAAUUCAUGGUGUAGCAGUGAAAUGCGUAGAGAUCAUGAGGAAGACCAGUGGCGAAGGCGGGUCUCUGGACAGUUCCAUGACACUGGAGGCACGAAAGCGUGGGUAGCAAACAGG
rnacentral:rRNA from 1 species